CGCCUUGCCAGCCCGCUCAGAAACUUAAGGAAUUGACGGGGCCCGCACAAGCGUGGAGCAUGUGGUUAAUUCGAUGAUACGCGAGGAACCUUACCUGGGCUCAAAUGUAUGUUGACGUAUUCUGAAAGGGAUACUUCUUCGGACAAUAUACAAGGUGCUGCAUGGUUGUCGUCAGCUCGUGCCGUGAGGUGUCGGGUUAAGUCCCAUAACGAGCGCAACCCCUAUCAUUAGUUGCCAUCAGGUCAAGCUGGGGACUCUAAUGAAACUGCCUACGCAAGUAGUGAGGAAGGUGGGGAUGACGUCAAAUCAGCACGGCCCUUACGUCCAGGGCUACACACGUGCUACAAUGGCCGGUACAAAGGGCAGCUACCUGGUGACAGGAUGCUAAUCUCAAAAGCCGGUCUCAGUUCGGAUCGGAGUCUGCAACCCGACUCCGUGAAGCUGGAAUCGCUAGUAAUCGUGAAUCAGAAUGUCACGGUGAAUACGUUCCCGGGCCUU
rnacentral:rRNA from 1 species